GGAUUACAGGGCUUUUUCUUCCUUCUUAGAAACAAGCUCAGAGGUGUGCAGCGAAACCUGGCUGGGAGUCUAGUUCGAUUGAGUGCUCUGGUGAAAAGUAAACAGAAAGCUUACUUCAUCCUGUCUCUUGGUAGAUCACACCCAGCUGUCACCCACGUGUCCAUCAUCGUGCAGGUCCCUGCCCAGCUGGUGUGGCACAGAGCCCUUCGGCCUGGUACAGCCUAUGUGCUGACAGAACUGCGAGUGUCCAAGAUCCGUGGUCAGCGCCAGCAUGUUUGGAUGACCAGUCAGUCCUCCCGUCUGUUGCUGCUGAAACCAGAAUGUGUGCAGGAGCUGGAACUGGAGCUGGAAGGACCCCUCUUAGAGGCUGACCCCAAGCCACUCCCCAUGCCCAGCAACUCGGAGGACAAGAAGGAUCCAGAAAGUCUUGUCCGGUAUUCUAGACUCCUAUCCUAUUCGGUGAGCACAGGGAGAGAUCCUAGAGCUUGAGGGGCCAGAAAUGUGGGUUUUCAAAGAGGAAGAAAAUAGUGGUCAACUGGACCUCGGCCUGUUUGCAGGGAGCAGUCACUGGCGUGUUGAAUGAGCCCGCUGGCCUCUAUGAGCUGGAUGGGCAGCUGGGGCUCUGCCUUGCCUACCAGCAGUUCCGUGGCCUUAGGCGGGUGAUGCGACCUGGAGUGUGUCUGCAGGUAUGUGAGAUCAGGGCUGAUAACAAAAAGAGACCUCUGCAGCUUCUCUUACCUUCAUAGGCUCCUUUUCUGCAGCAGGGUGGUUAUAUAGAAAUAUAGAAAUUAAAAGUGUGUGUUAGGGGGCACUUUUGCUAAGGAUAACUUGGACAGAAGCUUAAAUAAAAAGGAGUAGAGUCUUGGGCACUGUGAGGAGGAGUUGUGGCCAGAGCAUCUCCUUCACAGAAGGGCCUUUCAGCUGGAGGAGGAGAUAGCUGAAGCACAGAUCUGGGGCUGGGGUGAUCUCAGGCGACCCGGUGAGAAGCCUCAGCCAUGUCUGUUCAUCCAGGAGCCACCCAGCCCACAGCAAGACUGAGUGGAGCUCAUGGGAGAUGAAGGCUGACCGCAGCGGGAGUGGGUUGUAAUGGAAAGUGAGGCCAGCCCACGUGGGAGAAAUUGCUUUCCGUCUUCCUGGAACCCAGGCAGUGGCAAAGUGCGGUUAACUCUGCCUGGGUUCAUUGAGUUGGGGUCUUCAUCUCUGCUUUUUCAUUUUCUCUGCUUUCCCCCAGCUCCAGGAUGUUCACCUGCUCCAGUCAGUGGGAGGGGGGACAAGAAGGCCAGUGCUCGCCCCCUGCCUCCGUGGCGCCGUUCUGCUUCAAAGCUUCUCUCGUCAGAAGCCUGGGGCUCACUCAUCCCGUCAAGCCUACGGGGCCUCCCUGUACGAGCAGCUGGUGUGGGAACGUCAGUUAGGACUUCCCCUCUACCUGUGGGCUACCAAGGCCCUGGAGGAGCUGGCCUGCAAGUGAGGAGGCUGAGGGCCCAGGGCGGGGAGGCAGUGGGAGUAGCACACUUCCUUGGCAAGGAGAGCAGGAUUCUUGAAGAGGCAGGCUCUUCAGGGGAAGUGACUGUGCUGCUUUUCCUGGCCAAGGCUGUGUCCCC
rnacentral:lncRNA from 1 species